AUGCCAUGUCAGAUGGCGACCACUCCACAGACCGUGGGCAGGGUGGCCACUCAUGACCGCACCCCAGCCGGUGAGUUUGGCCUUGCACUCUCACCCUGCACGUUUACAAAGUGUGUGGAUGCUGCUCUGGCUCCACUGCGACUCCAGGGCAUCCGCAUACUAAAUUAUAUAGACGACUGGUUGAUUUUAGUUCAAUCGGAGCAGAUGGCGGUUCGACAUCGAGAUGUCAUUCUUGCCCACAUGAGGGAGCUUGAGACUGAAUGCCAAAAAAAGUGUGCUUUCUGCAUUACAGAGGACCACUUAUCUAGGCGUGGUGUGGGAUUCGACCACGAUGAAUGGCACAUUUGUCCCCUGAUCAUAUCGAGUCGAUCUUCACGUCAGUCAAGAGAAGGCCAGUCACUCACUGUUAAGCAGUUUCAGAGAUUGCUGGGUCUAAUGGCAGCUGCGACCAAUGUGAUACCUUUUGGCCUGCUGUACAUGAGACCCCUACAGUGGUGGCUCAAGACCAAGGGAUUUUCCCCGAGGGGGAGUCCACUUCGAAAUAUCAAGGUCACGCAGCGAUGCCUCCGUGCCUUAGACAUGUGUAAGAAACCUUGUUUCUUGAAUCAGGGCCUGGUUCUGGGAGCUCUUUGUUGCUGUGUAACGCUAGCGACGGACGCGUCCCUCACUGGCUUGGGUGUGGUCAUGAGUGGCCACCCUGCCCACGGUCUGUGGAGUGGACACCACCUGACAUGGCAUAUCAACUGUCUUGAGAUGCUGGCCAUGUGUCGAGCAUUAAAACACUUCCUCCCAGACCUAAAAGGUCACCAUGUGUUGGUGCGCACCGACAACACAUCAGUGGUCUCUUACAUCAACCACCAGGGAGGUCUGCGUUCGCGACCCUUGUACAAGCUGGCACACCAGAUCCUUGUGUGGUCCCAGGACAAACUCCUCUCACUCAGAGCAGUAUAUAUUCCUGGACAUCUCAAUGUGGGAGCAGACGUCCUGUCGAGAAAGGGACUGAGGCCCGGGGAAUGGAUGCUUCACCCCGAGGUGGUGAAGCAGAUAUGGAGAAUAUUUGGCCAGGCUCAGGUGGACAUUUUGUGA
ensembl:lncRNA